AUGCUGACGGCCAGACUGUGCAUUCCGCUGAUCGCGGCGGUGAUCCCGCGGAUUCUGACCGCCAACGUGGAGCAAUCGCCUUCCUCCCUGUCAGUCGCAGAGGGAGAGCCGGCCACUCUGUCGUGUACGCUGCUGAAUAGGGUGUAUACAAAUAUGUUCUGGUACAGACAGCGAUCCGGCCGGGCAAUUGAUGUUCUCUUCUAUUCUGCUGGGCAAGGUUCAGCUAUGAACUACACAUCUGAUUCCUACGCGGCGACCAGAUCCAGCGACUCUCUGUUUAAACUGGAACUGAGGUGGGCACCGUCCUUCCACUCCGCCGUCUACUUCUGCGCUUGUAGUAGCGCACAGAGCUUGAUGUAA